rnacentral:rRNA from 1 species
UACGGAGGGGGCUAGCGUUGUUCGGAAUUACUGGGCGUAAAGCGCGCGUAGGCGGCCCUGCAAGUCGGGGGUGAAAGCCCGAGGCUCAACCUCGGAACUGCCUUCGAUACUGCGGGUCUCGAGUCCGGGAGAGGUGAGUGGAAUUCCUAGUGUAGAGGUGAAAUUCGUAGAUAUUAGGAAGAACACCAGUGGCGAAGGCGGCGACCUGGGUAGAUACGGACGCUGAGGCGCGAAAGCGUGGGGAGCAAACAGG